rnacentral:lncRNA from 1 species
UGAACUAUUCUUUUUCUUCUCUUUCCAUCUUUUCCCAGUUCUCUGCACUUGAAAGUCAUGAGUAUUUUUUGGUGCCCAACAUCUCAUGGCAACAAGUUACUGCAUUCAGGAGCUCAGUUCUUAUAGUGGAUCUGGUUGGAGUAUGAAAUCUUUGGCCUAAGUGGAGACAUUUUGGCUUGAAAUUUAUUUGGAAGCUCAGUUCUGAAUCUUGGAGAUCAACAAAGAUUUAAGUGCUUCGUUGCAAGACAUGUGAGCGGAACAAGUUAUCCGGACCAGCAGCAGAUGAAUCUGCCUUCUGGAGUGCAUGAUUGGACAAGGAAGGAGACCAUAGCACCUUCAGCCCCUCCAGAAUCCAACCAGCCUGCACCCUGACCCCUUCUUACCUGGGUAAGUAGAACUCUUCUGCUUAUGGGAUUGGAAUCUGCU